AACGAACGCUGGCGGCAUGCCUAACACAUGCAAGUCGAACGAGAUCUUCGGGUCUAGUGGCGCACGGGUGCGUAACGCGUGGGAAUCUGCCCUUUGGUUCGGAAUAACAGUUGGAAACGACUGCUAAUACCGGAUGAUGACGAAAGUCCAAAGAUUUAUCGCCAGAGGAUGAACCCGCGUAGGAUUAGCUAGUUGGUGUGGUAAAGGCGCACCAAGGCGACGAUCCUUAGCUGGUCUGAGAGGAUGAUCAGCCACACUGGGACUGAGACACGGGCCAGACUCCUACGGGAGGCAGCAGUGGGGAAUAUUGGACAAUGGGCGAAAGCCUGAUCCAGCAAUGCCGCGUGAGUGAUGAAGGCCUUAGGGUUGUAAAGCUCUUUUACCCGGGAUGAUAAUGACAGUACCGGGAGAAUAAGCUCCGGCUAACUCCGUGCCAGCCGCCGCGGUAA
rnacentral:rRNA from 1 species